UCCUUGUUCUUUACAUCACCACAGGCUGGCUCAAGACUUUGAAGGAUACCAGUAUCACUUGAAGGAUACCAGUAUCACUUCAUCCUUGAAGAGCCAAAAUUACUGUGUUACUACCUUUGAAAGUCUACAUGAGUAUCAGCUGAUUCUUCUUUGUCCAGUAUUGACUUUGGCACUCACAUGGGAGCCCAUGGAGACUUUCAGGUAAGCACCAGAGCCACAACCCAAGCAACUUGCAGAAGCUUCGACAGGCCCCAGCAGGGGACACAGUAGAGUCACUUCAGUACAGGCAAGCAGAGACGUGCUUCAUCAAAAAUAAGAGUGCUUGUUGUAUUAUCAUCAUUUCCUUGGCUUUU
rnacentral:lncRNA from 1 species